AACGAACGCUGGCGGCAUGCCUAACACAUGCAAGUCGAACGAGACCUUCGGGUCUAGUGGCGCACGGGUGCGUAACGCGUGGGAACCUGCCCUUAGGUUCGGAAUAACUCCCCGAAAGGGGUGCUAAUACCGGAUAAUGUCUUCGGACCAAAGAUUUAUCGCCUUUGGAUGGGCCCGCGUUGGAUUAGCUAGUUGGUAGGGUAAAAGCCUACCAAGGCGACGAUCCAUAGCUGGUCUGAGAGGAUGAUCAGCCACACUGGGACUGAGACACGGCCCAGACUCCUACGGGAGGCAGCAGUGGGGAAUAGUGGACAAUGGGCGAAAGCCUGAUCCAGCAAUGCCGCGUGAGUGAUGAAGGCCUUAGGGUUGUAAAGCUCUUUUACUCGGGAUGAUAAUGACAGUACCGGGAGAAUAAGCUCCGGCUAACUCCGUG
rnacentral:rRNA from 1 species